CUAGGAUGAACGCUGGCGGCGUGCUUAACACAUGCAAGUCGAACGGAGUUUAAAUGAAACCUAGUGAUUUAAACUUAGUGGCGGACGGGUGAGUAACGCGUGGGUAACCUGCCUUAUACCGGGGGACAACAGUUAGAAAUGACUGCUAAUACCGCAUAAGCGCACGGUGUCGCAUGACACAGUGUGAAAAACUCCGGUGGUAUAAGAUGGACCCGCGUCUGAUUAGCCAGUUGGUGAGGUAACGGCCCACCAAAGCAACGAUCAGUAGCCGGCCUGAGAGGGUGAACGGCCACAUUGGGACUGAGACACGGCCCAAACUCCUACGGGAGGCAGCAGUGGGGAAUAUUGGACAAUGGGGGAAACCCUGAUCCAAGCGACGCCGCGUGAGUGAAGAAGUAUUUCGGUAUGUAAAGCUCUAUCAGCAAGGAAGAUAAUGACGGUACUUGACUAAGAAGCCCCGGCUAACUACGUGCCAGCAGCCGC
rnacentral:rRNA from 1 species